GGUGGGGCUUCUUAUGGCCUUGAUAGGCAUGGAGGGCUCAGAGAGGCCAGGUGGCUCGCCCAAGGCCACAUAGAAUAGGAAUGGCAGAUAGAACCGAGUCUGGGUGACUCUGCCUCCUGCCGCUUCCCCUGUCGAGAAGCCACAUUGGGCUGCAGGUUUCUAGCUCUGUCAUCCAGGCUGGAGUGCAGUGGCGUGAUCAUGGCUCACUGUGACCUCUGUCUCCUGGUCUCAAGGGAUCCUCCCACCUCAGCCUCUCAAGUAGUCGGGACCACAGGUAAGCGCUACGACGCCUGGCUAAUUUUUGUAUUCUUUUUGUAGAGAUGGGGGGUUUUGCCAUGUUGCCCAGGCUGGUCUUGAAC
rnacentral:lncRNA from 1 species